rnacentral:rRNA from 1 species
AUGGGGUGCAGCAGGCGCGAAACCUCCGCAAUGCGGGCAACCGCGACGGGGGGACCCCCAGUGCCGUGGCAUCGCCACGGCUUUUCCGGAGUGUAAAAAGCUCCGGGAAUAAGGGCUGGGCAAGGCCGGUGGCAGCCGCCGCGGUAAUACCGGCGGCCCGAGUGGUGGCCGCUAUUAUUGGGCCUAAAGCGUCCGUAGCCGGGCCCGUAAGUCCCUGGCGAAAUCCCACGGCUCAACCGUGGGGCUUGCUGGGGAUACUGCGGGCCUUGGGACCGGGAGAGGCCGGGGGUACCCCUGGGGUAGGGGUGAAAUCCUAUAAUCCCAGGGGGACCGCCAGUGGCGAAGGCGCCCGGCUGGAACGGGUCCGACGGUGAGGGACGAAGGCCAGGGGAGCGAACCGGAUUAGAUACCCGGGUAGUCCUGGCUGUAAAGGAUGCGGGCUAGGUGUCGGGCGAGCUUCGAGCUCGCCCGGUGCCGAAGGGAAGCCGUUAAGCCCGCCGCCUGGGGAGUACGGCCGCAAGGCUGAAACUUAAAGGAAUUGGCGGGGGAGCAC